rnacentral:rRNA from 1 species
UCCGUAGGUGAACCUGCGGAAGGAUCAUUACCGAGUAUCGGGUGCUCUCGCGCCCUGCUCCCACCCCAUGUUGACUUGCAACCGUUGCUUUGGCGGGCCGGUGGGUCACCCACCGCCUGGAGAGCGCCCGCCAGAGGACCAAACAAAACUCUUAUCAACCUGUCGCGUCUGAGCGAGCGAGAAUUGACUAAAACUUUCAACAACGGAUCUCUUGGUUCUGGCAUCGAUGAAGAACGCAGCGAAAUGCGAUAAGUAAUGUGAAUUGCAGAAUUCAGUGAAUCAUCGAAUCUUUGAACGCACAUUGCGCCCCUCGGCACUCCGGGGGGCACGCCUGUCCGAGCGUCAUUGAAAACCAUCAAGCCUAGCUUGGUCUUGGGCGCGGUCUUGGGACCCGCCCGUAACCCGUCGGCGGUGCCGGCCCGGCCCUGAGCGUAGCAAGACUCUCGCUCGGGGGCCGCGGCGGCGCUAGCCGGGAGCACACACUUCAAGUUUUGACCUCGGAUCAGGUGGGGAUACCCGCUGAACUUAAGCAUAUCAAUAACGG